AUGCUCACUCUGGCAGCCAUUAUAUAUGCUGAAACUGGAACAAUGCAGGGAAGAUUAGCAUGGCCUAAGCAAAGAUGACCCACAAUUCCAUGAAGUAGUCAUUCUCCAUUUUU
rnacentral:snRNA from 1 species